rnacentral:rRNA from 1 species
AGCGAACGCUGGCGGUAGGCCUAACACAUGCAAGUCGAACGGCAGCACAGUAAGAGCGUGCUCUGACGGGUGGCGAGUGGCGGACGGGUGAGGAAUACAUCGGAAUCUACUUUUUCGGGGGGGAUAACGUAGGGAAACUUACGCUAAUACCGCAUACGACCUACGGGGGAAAGCAGGGGAUAUUCGGACCUUGUGCGAAUGAAUGAGCCGCUGACGGAUUAGCUAGUUGGCGGGGUAAAGGCCCAGAAAGGCGACGAUCCGUAGCUGGUCUGAGUGGAUGAUCACCCACACUGGAGCUGAGACGCGGCCCAGACUCCUACGGUAGGCACCAGUCUGCAAUAUUGGACAGUGGGCGCAAGUCUGACCCAAUGAUACCGCGUGCGUUAAGAAGGCGUUCCGGUCGUAAAGCCCUUUUGUUGGUAAUGAAAAGCAGCAGGUUAAUACCCCGCUUUUCUGACGGUACCCGAAAAAUAAGCACCGGCUAACUUCGUG